rnacentral:lncRNA from 1 species
GUUUAUUUCCACCAAAACAAAAGAAAAGGGUCAAAACUAAACUUAAUUCAUGAAAUAAUCACAGAGGUGCUAUUUGUUUGCUUUACAGAGUUUUAAAUGAUCAAAAACUGACUGAACCAUCAAGAAUCAACCACCUUUCAAGAAAAGAGUCAAGUCAGUAUAAUUGGAUGAAAAAUUGCAGUCCUCAGGGAGCUUUCCCAUAAUUAUAUGGAAAACCCCUUUUAUCGAAUUAUUCAUAUAGAACUUUUGAGUUAUCAUUCGACGUGCCAGCUAUUUAAAGCCAAACUAAAGCUAUGUCGCUUCAAGAGUUCAAGACAAGAGUAAAACGGGCUUCUGAACUUGUUGUUAGCAGCAGCGAACAACACAUAAUUAAUUGAAUCCACUAAAGGUAUUGGACAAUAUUUCUACAGACAAACAUAUAUAGAGAAUGAAGGAACGAAAACUGAACAGAAAUAAUUUUAAGUGACCAUAGGUCUAAAUGUUGCCACACUCGAUGUUGCGCCAGAAAUAUAAAGUGCAAGCCUUAAUCUCCACAAAUAAAGUACCAAAGUACAGUUGAAGUUCAAUCUUCAAUCCUAACCAUGAUCCUACUAAAUCUGAGCUUUAAAUCUAUUCACUUGAAAUGGAGCCACUACAACCAUGCCCAGAAAAUUUACGAACUUAGGGUGUGUUUGGUUCAGCUUCCUGAACCAGAUUCACUGUCAAAAAUCUGGAAUCUCAACCAAACGGCUACAACAACAUAAUAGAUUCCUGAAAAUCAAUAGAUUCUUCUAAUUCAAUUCAGAAUCACCUCCUAACCCAGAUUUUCCAGAUUCCUGUCAUCCAUGAUGCAAGAUGUCAUGAUCUUAUAGAAUCUAUAUUGAUAGUUGUUUCAACCAAACAAAUUUCAGUUUUUUCACAAUUGUCAGCUUACAAUAGCUUUCUCACAGCUCACAGCUGGAAUCAUAUUUUCAGAAGUCUACAGUUGAACCAAGUAGACCCUUAAUCUCAAUCGGUUCAAAAAUUCUCUCACCAAUACGCUGCACCUACGCAUCACCCAUAUGCUAGUAAGG